UNGUAGACCCAGUGUAAAAUGAUGCCU
rnacentral:piRNA from 1 species